rnacentral:rRNA from 1 species
UAAUAAAUUAUUAAGAGCGUAUGGUGGAUGCCUUGGGAUUGGAAGACGAUGAAGGACGCGAUUACCUGCGAUAAGCUUCGGGGAGUUGGAAAUAAACUUUGAUCCGGAGAUUUCCGAAUGGGGAAACCCACUAUCUCUAAUCAGAUAGUACUGAAUAAUGAAUUCAUAGUUAUUCAGAGUGAUACCUAGAGAAUUGAAACAUCUUAGUACCUAGAGGAAAAGAAAGCGAAUGCGAUUCCCUUAGUAGCGGCGAGCGAAACGGGACCAGCCCAAACCAACUUUAAGUUGGGGUUGUAGGACCACUUUAUAGGAGUUACAAAAUUUAUUGAUAGUAGAAGUUGUUGGGAAGCAACACCAUAGAUGGUGAAAGUCCAGUAUACGAAAUCAAUAAAUCUCCUUGUGGUAUCCUGAGUACGGCGAGACACGAGGAAUCUUGUCGGAAUCUGCGCAGACCACUGCGUAAGGCUAAAUACUAACCAAUCACCGAUAGUGAACCAGUACCGUGAGGGAAAGGUGAAAAGUCCCCCGCAAGGGGAGUGAAAUAGUUUCUGAAACCAUAUGCUUACAACAAGUCGGAGCCCGUUAAUGGGUGACGGCGUGCCUUUUGUAGAAUGAGCCGGCGAGUUACGAUUACAUGCAAGGUUAAGCGUUUUAGACGUGGAGCCGUAGUGAAAGCGAGCCUGAAUAGGGCGUUUAGUAUGUGGUCGUAGACCCGAAACCAGGUGAUCUAGCCAUGAGCAGGUUGAAGCUAAUGUAACAGUUAGUGGAGGACCGAACCAACGUUCGUUGAAAAGACCGUGGAUGACUUGUGGCUAGCGGUGAAAUUCCAAUCGAACCUGGAGAUAGCUGGUUCUCCCCGAUAUAGUUUUAGGACUAGCGUUAGAAUUAGGACAAUGGAGGUAAAGCUCUGAAUGUAUGAUGGCCCCACCUCGGGGUACUGAAUGCAAUUAAACUGCGAAUGCCAUUGUUUCAUAUCUAGCAGUCAGUCUAUGGGUGAUAAGGUCCAUGGACGUGAGGGAAACAGCCCAGACCAUCAGCUAAGGUCCCCAAAUCAAUGCUAAGUGGAAAACGAUGUAGAAUUGUUUAAACAGCUAGGAGGUUGGCUUAGAAGCAGCCACCCUUUAAAGAGUGCGUAACAGCUCACUAGUCGAAUGAUUCUGCGCGGAAAAUGUACCGGGGCUAAGCAUUGUACCGAAGCUAUGGGUUUAUGCACAUUUAUUUGUGUAUGGGCGGUAGGGGAGCGUUUUAAGGGCAACGAAGCUAGACCGUAAGGACUAGUGGAGCGCUUAAAAGUGAGAAUGCCGGCAUGAGUAACGAUUGAAGGUGAGAAUCCUUCAUGCCGAUUGACCAAGGUUUCCUGGGCAAGGUUCGUCCUCCCAGGGUUAGUCGGGACCUAAGGCGAGGCCGACAGGCGUAGUCGAUGGACAACAGGUUGAUAUUCCUGUACUACCAUGGUAACUGAUGGAGUGACAAAGAAGGCUAGGAUAACCCAGCGACUGGAAGUGCUGGGCUAAAUACAAAGAGGGUUGUGUAGGCAAAUCCGCACAACAUUAACCUUGAAGUAUGAUGGGGAGUGAACGGUUCGCUUAGUAACGAAGUAUCUGACGCCCUGCUUUCAAGAAAAACUUCUAAAGAUAUUGCCAUGGUACCUGUACCGAGAACAGACACAUGUGGUCAAGGAGAAAAUCCUAAGGCAAGCGAGAUAACUAUAGCUAAGGAACUCUGCAAAAUAACCCCGUAAGUUCGCAAGAAGGGGUGCUCAUAGUAAAAUAUGAGCCGCAGUUAAGAGGUCCGGGCGACUGUUUAGCAAAAACACAGCUCUCUGCAAAGUCGUAAGACGAAGUAUAGGGGGUGACGCCUGCCCAGUGCUGGAAGGUUAAAGCGAUUUGUUAGCAAUUUAUUGCGAAGCUUUGAACUGAAGCCCCAGUGAACGGCGGCCGUAACUAUAACGGUCCUAAGGUAGCGAAAUUCCUUGUCAGGUAAGUUCUGACCCGCACGAAAGGCGUAACGAUCCGGACGCUGUCUCGGCUAUAGACUCGGUGAAAUUUUAGUACCUGUGAAGAUGCAGGUUACCCGCGAUUAGACGGAAAGACCCCGUGGAGCUUUACUACAACUUGAUAUUGAAUUUUGGUAUAACUUGUACAGGAUAGGUGGGAGACGAAGAAGCGUAGACGCAAGUAGACGCUGAGUCAUCCUUGGGAUACCACCCUUGUUAUACUGAAAUUCUAACUUGAGACCAUUAUCUGGUCUAAGGACAGUGUCUGGUGGGUAGUUUGACUGGGGCGGUCGCCUCCUAAAAAGUAACGGAGGCGCCCAAAGGUACCCUCAGUAUGAAUGGAAAUCAUACAUAGAGCGCAAAGGUAGAAGGGUGCUUGACUGCGAGACUUACAAGUCGAGCAGGAACGAAAGUUGGGCUUAGUGAUCCGGCGGUCCCGUGUGGAAGGGCCGUCGCUCAACGGAUAAAAGUUACCCCGGGGAUAACAGGCUUAUCUCCCCCAAUAGUUCACAUAGACGGGGAGGUUUGGCACCUCGAUGUCGGCUCAUCGCAUCCUGGAGGUGUAGUCGCUUCCAAGGGUUGGGCUGUUCGCCCAUUAAAGCGGUACGCGAGCUGGGUUCAGAACGUCGUGAGACAGUUUGGUCCCUAUCUGUCGUGGGCGCAAGAAAUUUGAGGAAAGCUGUUCCUAGUACGAGAGGACCGGAAUGGACCUACCUCUGGUGCCCCAGUUGUCACGCCAGUGGCACAGCUGGGUAGCUAUGUAGGGCAUGAAUAAGCACUGAAAGCAUCUAAGUGCGAAGUCAGUUCCAAGAUUAGAUUUCUGACCAUAGGGGGCAACCCCUAUGGAUAAGAUCCCUUGAAGACAACAAGGUUGAUAGGUUGGGUGUGUAAGUACGGUGACGUAUUCAGCUAACCAAUACUAAUAGAUCGAACAUUUAUUAGA